rnacentral:rRNA from 1 species
GACGUAGGGCGCAAGCGUUGUCCGGAUUUAUUGGGCGUAAAGAGCUCGUAGGCGGCCUGUCGCGUCGACCGUGAAAACCCGCAGCUCAACUGCGGGCUUGCGGUCGAUACGGGCAGGCUGGAGUUCGGUAGGGGAGACUGGAAUUCCUGGUGUAGCGGUGAAAUGCGCAGAUAUCAGGAGGAACACCGGUGGCGAAGGCGGGUCUCUGGGCCGAUACUGACGCUGAGGAGCGAAAAGCGUGGGGAGCGAACAGG